rnacentral:lncRNA from 1 species
UAAUCAAACAUGUGAUUUUAUUUAUUGAAAGUGCGUAUACAUAGAAGAGUAAGUUAGUGGGUGAUUUAUGAGAGCGAGCGAGCGAGCGAAUGAUGGAAUUUUGGAGUGAGUGAGUUUGAGUAGUGCUUUGAAUAUAUCUCAUUUUAUACCUAAUCUGUAACAAGCCUUCAGUAUUGUUCUGUAUAAGAACCGCUAAAUGGCCAUUUUCAUAUUAGCGUAAAAAAUAAAUGUCUCGAGGGUCAUCACAGAUCACAUAUUGUAGAGCUUUAAAAUGACACACAAAAAAGGCAGUAUAAGUAUACCAUUGAAAGUCUGUCUGACUAUAGAGGUUUUUUUUAUUUAACUUCCAUAAUUUUUAGAUAAAUACUUAACUGAAUCGGUUAGCUCAACAUGAAGAACAUCUGUCAAUAUUCAGGCAACA